UUUUCUAAGCCUUUUGGUGUUGUGAGUUACUUUUUGGUUUAUUUAGUAGUUUGAAACUGCACAAUUCUGAUGUAUUUUCAUGUAAAAAUUGAAUCUUUUAGUGCAUGCUUGUGUGUAUGUGUGUUUAUUUGAAGCUUGAGUGCAUAUUAUAGUAGAAACUAGUCACUGUGAAUUAUGACGUGCUCUUUAUUCUUGUUCUUCCUCAGCCUCCUCUUUGUAUGUGUAUUGUGUUCAUCUGAAUUCAUCACUGAAAAAAUAUUCUUUGAAGAGAAUUGUUCUUUUGCACUAUAGUUCUAAGAGUUGUUUCUUGAUUUAUUUACUUGUUGGGGAGUGCACUAGGCUGAGUUUGUAUCAUGUUAAUUUUGCUGUUUCUAUAGGACUAAGAGUCCUUUUUUGAUUUGAAUGAAGCAAGCUGCAUCUCAAAGUAGAAAUUUUGUAUUGAGAGGAGUAGUCUUUAAACAGAAUUUUUAAAAAUUUCAAUACUAAAAAGUUUCUUGAUUUAUUUGCUUGUUGAUAGGCAUAAAUGCCAAUCUGUUUCUUCUUUAUUUUUCCUAAUUAACUUACUGCCUUUAUAUGCUUGUCGUUAAUUAGCCAUAUUCAGCGGCUUAUAUAGAAAGUAAGGUACAAGUUCAAGUGAAGCCAAUAUUAUUGACAUGGAGCUUAAAUAUGACUUGACAGAAAAAUUUCGCUGCUCGAGGGUCUCUAGGACAGAUCGUAAAUCCCCUACUACUUGAACAGAGAAGUUCCCUGAGAGACUGAUCAAAAUCAGAAAUGAAUUAGUUAGACCUAUGGAACCUCAAAUAUCGAUGAAGCUAAUAAUAUAUGUCGGGACCAAUAUAUACGGGGAAGCUAAUGAAACAAAAAUUCAAGUCUUGUCAGUCUGAUGAGCUUGCGUGCAUCAGAAGUAGAUAAAUGCAAUUGCAGUGAUGCAUAAAUUUGGUGGGACUGUUCUGUGUUGACUGAUCAUAGAAGAAGUGCUGUUGAAAAGGGUCGAGAUCUAACACCAGGUGAGGUACAUUUGCACGUCCAUACACAUGAUCAUGAUGGAGCAUCUUUUAUUGAUGAGUGUGCCCAAGCUGUCCAUGAAAGAUAUCAAGAAAUAUUACGGGAAAAAUCACAAUCUCAAUCUAAUAUUGAUCAAUGUGAAGCAUAUUACCAAGCCGUGGAAGGAGCAAUGAAGAGAAGAAUAUAUGAUCUUGGAUAUCAAUCAUAAAGUUACUACGGGACGAAUCUUCGUGUCACU